rnacentral:rRNA from 1 species
AAUGAACGCUGGCGGCAAGCCUAACACAUGCAAGUCGAACGGGGUUAUAUAUAGCUUGCUAUAGUGUAGCCUAGUGGCAGACGGGUGAGUAAUGUAUAGGAAUCUACCUAGUAGUACGGAAUAAUUACUGGAAACGGCAACUAAUACCGUAUACGCCCUAUGGGGGAAAGAUUUAUUGCUAUUAGAUGAGCCUAUAUUAGAUUAGCUAGUUGGUAGGGUAAUGGCCUACCAAGGCUAUGAUCUAUAGCUGAUCUGAGAGGAUGAUCAGCCACACUGGAACUGAGAUACGGUCCAGACUCCUACGGGAGGCAGCAGUGGGGAAUAUUGGACAAUGAGCGGAAGCUUGAUCCAUCUAUGCCGCAUGAGUGAAGAAAGCCUUUGGGUUGUAAAGCUCUUUCAGUGAGGAAGAUAAUGACGGUACUCAC